UUUGAAGGAAAGUCAUGUCAAAUCUCUUU
rnacentral:piRNA from 1 species